CGUCAUACCAGCCACAAUAACGUUCCGGUCGUUUACCGAGUCUGUGUCAACCAUCUUUAUCAGCCGGCCCAUCACUGUGCCAUGGGAUUUUCUGGCGGUUGGUCCUCCACUCUACAGACAGUGUGUGUAGAGUCGACCUGGACUUCAUGAUAGUUUGGGUGUUGGUGAUCUCCCGCGCCACAAUCGGAGUAUGUAAGGAAGGCCUGGACUUGUGGCUAAUUGUGGUGGCGACAUGUCAGGUGUGUUACGGGGAUUCGGAAGGCGUCGAUGUGGGCCACUGAAGCCGAAACACUCCAAGCAAUAAAGCCUUGUUA